rnacentral:rRNA from 1 species
GACGAACGCUGGCGGCGUGCUUAACACAUGCAAGUCGAACGGAAAGGCCCUGCUUUUGUGGGGUGCUCGAGUGGCGAACGGGUGAGUAACACGUGAGUAACCUGCCCUUGACUUUGGGAUAACUUCAGGAAACUGGGGCUAAUACCGGAUAGGAGCUCCUGCUGCAUGGUGGGGGUUGGAAAGUUUCGGCGGUUGGGGAUGGACUCGCGGCUUAUCAGCUUGUUGGUGGGGUAGUGGCUUACCAAGGCUUUGACGGGUAGCCGGCCUGAGAGGGUGACCGGCCACAAUGGGACUGAGAUACGGCCCAGACUCCUACGGGGGGCAGCAGUGGGGAAUAUUGCACAAUGGGCGGAAGCCUGAUGAAGCAACGCCGCGUGCGGGAUGACGGCCUUCGGGUUGUAAACCGCUUUCGCCUGUGACGAAGCGUGAGUGACGGUAAUGGGUAAAGAAGCACCGGCUAACUACGUG